UACGUAGGCAGCAAGCGUUGUUCGGAAUUACUGGGCGUAAAGAGUGUGUAGGCGGUGCUCUAAGUCUGUUGUGAAAUCUCCCGGCUUAACUGGGAGGGUGCGGCGGAAACUGGAGUGCUCGAGGGUGGGAGAGGUAAGCGGAAUUCCUGGUGUAGCGGUGAAAUGCGCAGAUAUCAGGAAGAACACCCGUGGCUAAGGCGGCUCUCUAGUACGGUACUGACGCUGAGACGCGAAAGCGUGGGGGAGCGAACAGG
rnacentral:rRNA from 1 species